UGACCCAGGAACACAUCUACAGGACAGACGUUUCUUUUUCUGCUUUCUCAAAACAAACACAAUCACAUAUUCAUGUUCAGCAACACAGUCAAACAUUAUUACUGCACCAGUUGUCACAUUGUUAUCUCUAUUAAUAAUGCUUUGAACUGUGAUUAAAAUGAUUUCUUCAGUGAUGAAAUGCUCUGAUGGAUUUUGGUGAAAUGUGAACUGAUUCAUUCAGUCAGACUGUAACUGUGAACAACAACUGUGAGGAGAGAAAACUGACUCAGCUAAAACGAUCCAUCCCAGGAGUCUUCCUGUAAGUGAAACCGGUCCAAACGUUCCAGGAUUCGCAUGAAAACAAGGUUCUUUUACAACAGAACAUGACCACACAGUUUACACAGACGUCCACUGUAGAUCCCUUCGACCAUUAAAACAUUUAAACCUCCUUUGGACCCGAUCACAACAUUUCCAGCUGGAGCCUGACAAGGAAAGCGGUCUAGAAUAGUGAGUCUGAGAGAAGCAUACAGCAUGACACCGUCACCACAGCAGCCUGGAAGAAGCACAAGGUCACCUGUUCAAGACGCCCACCUGGCCUCAAAAAAUGUGCAGGAGAUAAAAACGGAGGUUUUCCUUCUUUGGUAAUACUGCUGACACACAGCAGCCACAGAGAGAGAGCAGAGUAAAGAAAAUGAGCUUUCUAUGGAUAACAGAGGCAGAUAAUGUGAAUAAUAAUCAGAGAAACUUCAGGGUAGUGUGGACGCUGCAGAGCUUUCAGCUUCCAUCAUUAGUCACAUCAUCAUGUUUUAAUUGGGCAAGUUGAUUAAAAUGCACACAGGAAAGUCUACAUCACAAAAACGGACAAUUGGCUGAUAAUCAAUUAGCCUGAUGAGCCACCUUGAGUUAUCAAUACAGGGGCUGAGACCAGAGUGUAAUCCAUUGAUCGUAUGAAAGGCAGUCGUGACAAUACAGAUGCAGUCCAUCGUUCCGAGCCGGAAGGAAAGCCCGGGAACAUCAGCAUCUCAUCGCGCGCCGUCCCGUCUGCUGCAGCUCCAGCCGGGCACGCGACUCACGGCUUCACCAACAACGUCACAGUCACACACACACCGACCGACAGCCUCCGUGAACCCGACAGAGAGUGUGUGCUCACCGGAGAGCCUCCUCAUCCCUCCUCCGGUCCUCCUUCCUCCCGGUAUCCGGAGCCCAGCGGGGGCUGGACUCACCGAGCCCCGUUCCUCCGGUCUGACGCUGCGUUCAAGAGCGGUGGGAAAUCUAAACCCUCUGAAACGUACUGAACUGAUCCUGGGCUGUUGGAACCAGCACAAUGCCUCGAUGAUUAAUAACUUCAGGGCUAAUCAUUUAAGCCCUAAUGAGGAUAUGAUGUCACAGAACGAUGCAUGUGUUCUCCGGUGAAGCUGCGAGGUGUCCAACAUGACAUCAAACUGAUCCACAGAGUCCAGACGCCGAUUCAGUUUGAAUUCUAAAUUCAGGACUUUAAACACACAGACCGCCUGUUUGUUAUCACAUGUAUGACUCAACACCAAAUGUCCGAGGAGGAGGAGGAGGACGAGGAGGAGGACGAGGAGGAGGAAGAGUGAGUGUCGCAGCAGCAGCAGGAGACGAGGCAGUGUGGGCGGGUGGGAAUCACAAGGAUGAAUAUUUUACAGUUCCAUGGAGCCGUCAUGUGGCUGCUCCCUCAUGUGUGUCAUCAUACAGUGUGUCACUCACGCCUCCUUAUUAAACAUUCAGCACUCCACAGGAAGUGAUGUAACCAGCGUUACACACUCUGAAACUACAGAGACUGAAAAUCUGGUUUCAUUCAGAGAUAAACAUCAUUUCUGCUGUUCCCACCUGAAAUCCACCCGCUCAGACAUGAAACUCAAACAUCACGCUAACGACUACAUGACUGUUGUAUAUUGUUACUGUCUUUGACUUCCUGCUGCCUCUUUAUAUUUUCAGGUGUUUUCAGUUAUUUGUGUGUCAAGAGUACGUUCCAUCAGGACCCGAUAACUUCCUGACAACUGUAAUAUAAUCUACACUUCAUUUAAAUAAAACUGUCAUAACAAAAUGUCCCAACUGACUGAUAUUGUAAUUACCUUUAAUAGACAAUAGACAACUUUUUUGCUUCGACCGUUCAUUCUGAAGUGAACACUGAUGUCACAGUGAUUUCUGUAGACAAAAAGACAGCGUCCAUGUUUAGACUGAUUCACUGUCAUUGUGAUAUUCAGUCAACACCAGGUCAGAGUAGAAGGUGGAAUUACAGCACAAAGGAAUCUGCCAUUGUGCAACCACAACAGUUCGAGGCACCCGUUUGCCGGUCUCUAUCCCCCCAUAACGGUGUAAUAACAUGAAUAACUGUGACAAGAAAAAGAAGCCGGCUGAUGUAGGAGGCAGAGAAGAAGAAACCGAGGUAUGU